GAGGCGGCGGGGCGGCGGCCGGCGCCUCCCGUACCUGCGGAGGGCGGGGCGCAGCAGCGGCGGCACCCCGAACAAAGGGGCCGCGCCCCGGGCCUGGCGGGGAAGGGGGUCGGGGCGCUCAUCCGCCGGCUCGGCGGGACCGAGCGGCGGCGGCUGCGGCGGCGACUCCUGCCCCGGCUGGGUGCCGGAGACCCUGUGCGUGUAUGUGGGCGCUGCGGUUCUAGGGUUCCAUUUGGCUGGUGUAUUGAUGCAGUCUGCCUGUGGGGAGAGAGAACGCUUGCCUGUGUUUGUGAAGAGGAGAUGGAGAACUUGUUUGUCAGGGUUUUCAUGUGCUGUUCCGUGUGGGUUUCAAGAAAUUUCCUUAUGGAAGUGCCUCUCCAGAAGUCAUCUUGCAGGAUGCCAAAGAGGCCUUUUGGUAAGAAAAUGCUGAAAUGAUGACUUAAAACGUAUGAAAUACGUAUCUGUUCUCACUUCAGAAGGUGCUGUCUAGUUCAUGGCCAUGCCCAGCAGUUGGCACUAAGGUCUUGUGGAGCCUCUGGGAGACUGCUAGAACUCUGUGAACUUGUUUCCCUUGUUUUAGUGACUUCUUGUUGGAGGCAUCUCAAUUCUUUUGAUGCUGUCUUAAGAGUAUAAAGCUGUGGGCAUGUGGGAACCACUAUUCUUUAUAACAACACAAUGUAAUUUAUGGGGUGGAUGGGCCUUUUACUGGGUGAAGAGUUCACUGGUUGACUUUUCCAGUUCAAGUGCCUAGAUAUGGUUUUGAUUUGAAGUACUUGUCUCAAGGGGCUGGGAAAUGUAGGUCUUUUGCCUGAGGAGAUUUGCUUCUGUUGAGAGAUAGAACUGAAGUCAGUCUUCUACCCUUUACUUUUGUUAGUAUAUGUGUAGUCAGUCACUGUAGUAAAUUUGUUUUGUGGGUGUGGGAGGCACAAGCACCUUCUAAGGUGUGCCCUAGAAGGCUUUGGAAAGAAGGGUUCUUAUGAAACCUUGAAUGUAAUUUAACUGCUUGUUAAACUCAUGGGAAGCUCCAAAUCCUAAUUUGUGGUUAAACAUGUUUGUCUCAAACGAUUAUUUUCAGGACAUAGGGAAAUACUUGCUGUGAAAGUUUCUAACUUGUUAUGAGGCUGAGUUUCAGGAGGCAUGUUUCAUUAUCUAAUGAAAUUAGUCAUUUCUAAGAUAGGUUUGAACAUUUGGGUUCAUUCUUCUCUUUCUCUAGUUUACUACUUAAAGUUUCUGGUGAUUAUUUAACAUCUGAAAUACUUGUUCUACCUUAAUAAAAUACUGAUGUUACUUUG
rnacentral:lncRNA from 13 species